rnacentral:rRNA from 1 species
UACAGAGGGGGCAAGCGUUAUUCGGAAUUAUUGGGCGUAAAGGGCGCGUAGGCGGCCUGGCAAGUGACGGGUGAAAGCCCUCGGCUUAACCGAGGAACUGCCUGUCAGACUGUUAGGCUUGAGACCGGGAGAGGUGAGUGGAAUUCCCAGUGUAGCGGUGAAAUGCGUAGAUAUUGGGAGGAACACCAGUGGCGAAGGCGGCUCACUGGACCGGUACCGACGCUGAGGCGCGAAAGCGUGGGGAGCAAACAGG